GUAGAAUGGCUGAGUNGAAGCAUUAGACUGUAAAUCUAAAGACAGAGGUUUGUAUUCCUCUUUUUACCA
rnacentral:tRNA from 1 species